GAUGAACGCUGGCGGCGUGCCUAAUACAUGCCGGUCGAGCGAACAGACGAGGAGCUUGCUCCUUUGACGUUAGCGGCGGACGGGUGAGUAACACGUGGGUAACCUACCUAUAAGACUGGGAUCACUUCGGGAAACCGGAGCUAAUACCGGAUAAUAUUUCGAACCGCAUGGUUCGAUAGUGAAAGAUGGCUUUGCUAUCACUUAUCGAUGGACCUGCGCCGUAUUAGCUAGUUGGUAAGGUAACGGCUUACCAAGGCAACGAUACGUAGCCGACCUGAGAGGGGGAUCGGCCACACUGGAACUGAGACACGGUCCAGACGCCUACGGGAGGCAGCAGUAGGGAAUCUGCCGCAAUGGGCGAAAGCCUGACGGAGCAACGCCGCGUGAGUGAUGAAGGUCUUCGGAUCGUAAAACUCUGUUAUUAGGGAAGAAUAAACGUGUAAGGAACUGUGCACGGCGUGACGGUACCGAAUCAGAAAGCCACGGCUAACUACGUG
rnacentral:rRNA from 1 species